UACGAAGGGGGCUAGCGUUGCUCAGAAUCACUGGGCGUAAAGGGUGCGUAGGCGGGUCUUUAAGUCAGGGGUGAAAUCCUGGAGCUCAACUCCAGAACUGCCUUUGAUACUGAGGAUCUUGAGUCCGGGAGAGGUGAGUGGAACUGCGAGUGUAGAGGUGAAAUUCGUAGAUAUUCGCAAGAACACCAGUGGCGAAGGCGGCUCACUGGCCCGGUACUGACGCUGAGGCACGAAAGCGUGGGGAGCAAACAGG
rnacentral:rRNA from 1 species